GAUGUUUGUGUGAUUUUUAAAUGAUCUAAAUCGUCUGUCUCCAGUCGUCUGAGCCAGAGACCGUCAGCAGAAGAGCUGGAGCAGAGGAACAUCCUCAAACCACGGAACGAGCAGGAGGAGCUGGAGGAGAAGCGCGAGCUGAAGAAACGGCUCUCCAGGAAGUUGAGUCAGAGGCCCACCGUAGAGGAGCUCAGAGAGGCCAAGAUUCUCAUCCGCUUCAGUGAUUACGUGGAGGUGGCAGAAGCUCAGGAUUAUGACCGGCGCGCGGACAAACCCUGGACCAGACUCACUGCUGCUGAUAAGGUUCAUCUCCAUCACCCUGAGCUUCUCUGACUAAAUAAAAACUUGAUGCUUUCACGUUUGAAAAUUAAAGCAUAAAUG